GGAGUAUGGACCGUGUCUCAGUUCCAUUGUGGCCGUUCAUCCUCUCAGACCGGCUACCGAUCGUCGGCUUGGUAGGCUUUUACUCUACCAACUACCUAAUCGGACGCAGGCUCCUCGCAAAGCGAUAAAUCUUUAGUGUAAAGUUCAUGCAAACCCUACACAACAUCCGGUAUUAGCGUCCUUUCGGACGUUGUCCCCGACUUUGCGGCAGAUUACCUGCGCUUU
rnacentral:rRNA from 1 species